UACCCUUGACAUGCCUGGAACCCUGCAGAGAUGUGGGGGUGCUCGAAAGAGAGCCAGGACACAGGUGCUGCAUGGCCGUCGUCAGCUCGUGUCGUGAGAUGUUGGGUUAAGUCCCGCAACGAGCGCAACCCUUGCCAUUAGUUGCUACGAAAGGGCACUCUAAUGGGACUGCCGGUGACAAACCGGAGGAAGGUGGGGAUGACGUCAGGUCCUCAUGGCCCUUAUGGGUAGGGCUA
rnacentral:rRNA from 1 species